rnacentral:rRNA from 1 species
ACGAAGGGUGCAAGCGUUACUCGGAAUUACUGGGCGUAAAGCGUGCGUAGGUGGUUUGUUAAGUCUGAUGAGAAAGCCCUGGGCUCAACCUGGGAAUUGCAUUGGAUACUGGCAGGCUAGAGUGCGGUAGAGGGUAGUGGAAUUCCCGGUGUAGCAGUGAAAUGCGUAGAGAUCGGGAGGAACAUCCGUGGCGAAGGCGGCCACCUGGGCCAACACUGACACUGAGGCACGAAAGCGUGGGGAGCAAACAGGA